GUUGGUACGACUCUUUAAAAACAGAUUAUUAUGAAGAUGGGAUAAUCUACGCGUGAAAGGAGACUAACUGGCAAAGUAAACAAAUAAAUAAAAAGUAACUCUGAGUGACAGGUCGUUGAGCCGGAGUUAUUGAUAGAUUCCACAAAGCGAUACCGUUGGAUCGAUGUCUCCCCGCCGAGGGGUCCGCAGCCCCCCACCAGCUAAAGGUCAGACGCACUCUCUGCCUCUCCCUUCCCUCCUCCCCUCAUCUUUAUCUGGCACGUCGUACAUCCAAGUACUCUUUGGGGCACCGCAGCUUUUCUGAACACCGUGCCGGGAGACGGAGCCCACACCCAGGGGGUGUGGGCUGUCUUCUGCUGCUGGGGGGGAC
ensembl:lncRNA